CAGGUCUUGGCUUCAAGGACCCUCCCUGGUAGCCUAGAGCUUCAGUCUCAGUUCUACCACCAUGAUGUGACAGCCCACCACUAUGGCCUAAGUUUGAUCCAAGCUAGGGAGCUAACCCACAUAUGAAAACUGGCGAUUCCAAGAAUUUGCCCAGGCUCUGAACCAGAACCAGAAACUAUUUUCUUAAUGCUAAAGAUGAAAGGAAAAAAAUCCAUGAACUAAGGCUCAAAAUCUAGGCAUUGACCUCAAUUCUUCAAGCCAGAAAUCUACUGAUUUUUCCUUCUGUUUAGCUUCUCUGAUGAAACCUGCAACAAGAUGGAGACAAUCAUACUCAAAUACCAGGAUCAUGGCCAUAAUCAUAAGAAAUGUUUGUAAAGCAUCUGGCCCACAGAAGAUGCCCAAGACACUGUAAUAACACCACUGUCAUUACCGCUACCACUACUAUAAAGAAUUUAAA